UCAUCAGUCAUGUUCUCUGUAGCUCUGAUACUGCUGUUGGCAUCUGGAUCCUGUGUGUACAGUAUAGACCUGAUCCAGCCAGACUCAGUGGUCCUGCAGCCUGGACACACUUUGACCAUCAGCUGUCAGGUCUCUGGUUAUUCUCUGACUGACGACAGCUAUGCAACAGGUUGGAUCAGACAGCGUGAAGGAAAACCAAUGGACUGGAUUUUCCACCUGUGGGGUGGAGGAGGUCUACCACAGAAUGAUGCUUUUAAGAACAAAUUUAGCUUCAGCAGGGACACAUCUGCCAGAACAGUAACUAUUACAGCACAAAACCUACAGCCUGAAGACACAGCUGUUUAUUACUGUGUACCUUACCGCACAGUGACACAAACACCAACAGACCUGCACAAAUACCCAAACCAUCCAGACUGUAUUACACAUGACCCCAGAAAGAAAUAA